CAGCUUUUGAAUUGUCUUCCGUCCGUCCUGAGAUUAUCUCCUUCUUCUGUCACUUUAAUUUCCGAUUUGUUUUGAUUUUCAUUGUCUUCUCCUUCAAUCCAAGAGAAAUGCGUUUGAUAUCUUGAAUCGUUUAUUUGCUUUCUCUUUAAAAAAUUCGAUGAAAUGGGUUGGUUAAUCUGAAUUGGCUCUAUCAUCGAGUCAGCAGCAGGCGCCGUUUUAAUGGCGAUCCGUCUGCCGCAUGGAGCCGAUAUUUUGUUACCGGAAGAAGAUCCUUAAAACUUAAUCGUUUUAAGACACAAUGCCCGGUCGACAUUUUUUAAAAAUUUCUAAUCCCCAUCAUCUGCAAUUAGGUCUGUGUAGGGUUUUUGAAUUAGAGUUUGAAUGGGCAUUAAAUUCAGACACGGGUGUUUGUUCAUUAAUCUUACAACAAACAACCUUUUGCACGGUGCCUAUAUUGAGCUACUGAACACGAUUGGGGGAAUCUAUUAUUAUUUUAUAUGUCUCAGAUGACGCCUUUUCAUUUGUUGGAACAAUCUGGAUGAGAGACUCAUCAUGGGAUUCUUGCCUAUCAUCUUUCACAGUUGCUUCUCAGAAAAUAAAUGGAAAAUGAAUGGGAUAAUAUCUUGCGUUAUAAGUGUUGCUUAAUAUUUGAUUUCAUAACUGUUAAUGGUUUUAGAGUUCUGAAAAGCCUCAGUUGGGACAUAGGUUUGAAAUGUGAUCUUCCAUCCCCUUGCUGUCAAUUUAUCGCAACACAUAAACUUUGUAGGCAUACUCUCCUUUUCUUCUUAUUUCCUCAUAAAUGAAACUAAUUCUUAAUUGCGCAAUAA